AACGAACGCUGGCGGCAGGCUUAACACAUGCAAGUCGAACGCAUGCCUUCGGGCAUGAGUGGCAGACGGGUGAGUAACGCGUGGGAACCUACCCCUUGGUACGGGAUAGCUCCGGGAAACUGGAGAUAAUACCGUAUGUGUCCUGAGGGACAAAGAUUCAUCGCCAAGGGAUGGGCCCGCGUCGGAUUAGCUAGUUGGUGGGGUAACGGCCUACCAAGGCGACGAUCCGUAGCUGGUCUAAGAGGAUGAUCAGCCACAUUGGGACUGAGACACGGCCCAAACUCCUACGGGAGGCAGCAGUGGGGAAUAUUGGACAAUGGGCGCAAGCCUGAUCCAGACAUGCCGCGUGAGUGAUGAAGGCCCUAGGGUUGUAAAGCUCUUUCACCGGUGACGAUAAUGACGGUAACCGGAGAAGAAGCCCCGGCUAACUUCGUG
rnacentral:rRNA from 1 species